CAGGUAGCUCAACUCGCUAAGGCAAAGAUAAUGAAACAUUGGCUUGUGUAUGCCCUUUGGUUGGUUGUUUGGCCACGGAUAAGUAUCAGGCAGCCACAGCAAAUCCCCUCAGCUGCUGCAAUGCACCAAAAGCAAGCAUCAUGUGCAGCACAUCUGGAGUGUCGAUUUUGUAACACAAGAUUCAGAUGAUAAACUUAAAUCCCCAGAAGAAAAGGUCUGCUGCAUGGAAAAACAAAGACUAAAAACAAGCAUCAUCCUUGCAGGGAGGACUGGACUCCUAAAGGUUGUCAAGAGACAGACUGAUGGCAAAAUAAUUUGAUGACUUGAUUUCCUUAUCUCUUUCUCUCUUAUCAACCUCCCCAAUUAAGCAAGAGAAUGUGAAAAGCUCCUAGUCCCUUUCUCCCUCGUGGAGCACAGUGUAGCUUGUCUGGCAGACCAUUCCUCCUUUGGUCCAAAGUCUUGUUUUCUUCAGUCAGUUUCUGUCUUUGAAUUUUUCCUACCUUUUCUCAUCUUCAAACCUUGCACUGUCUUAUUAUGCACUGCUUGAAUGCUGUUGUCUGCCAUUGCUGUCGUUGUCUAGCCCUCA
rnacentral:lncRNA from 1 species